rnacentral:rRNA from 1 species
AUUGAACGCUGGCGGCAUGCCUUACACAUGCAAGUCGAACGGCAGCACGGGAGCAAUCCUGGUGGCGAGUGGCGAACGGGUGAGUAAUAUAUCGGAACGUGCCCAGUAGUGGGGGACAACUUGGGGAAACUCAAGCUAAUACCGCAUGAAGUUUACGGACUAAAGCUGGGGACCAUUAGGCCUGGCGCUGGAAGAAUAGCCUGCGUACGAUUAGCUAGUUGGUGGGGUAAGGGACUACCAAGGCGACGAUCGUUAGCUGGUCUGAGCGGAUGGCCAGCCACACUGGAACUGAGACACGGUCCAGACUCCUACGGGAGGCAGCAGUGGGGAAUAUUGGACAAUGGGGGGAACCCUGAUCCAGCAAUGCCGCGUGUGUGAAGAAGGCCUGAGGGUUGUAAAGCACUUUCAGUGGGGAGGAGGUUUUGAAGGUUAAGAGCUAUCAAGAUGGACGUUACCUACAGAAUAAGCACCGGCUAACUACGUGCCAGCAGCCGCCGUAAGAC